rnacentral:rRNA from 1 species
UACGGAGGGAGCUAGCGUUGUUCGGAAUUACUGGGCGUAAAGCGCACGUAGGCGGAUUUGUAAGUCAGGGGUGAAAUCCCGGGGCUCAACCUCGGAACUGCCUUUGAUACUGCAAAUCUCGAGUCCGGAAGAGGUGAGUGGAAUUCCUAGUGUAGAGGUGAAAUUCGUAGAUAUUGGGAAGAACACCGGUGGCGAAGGCGGCAACCUGGUCCUUUACUGACGCUGAGGCGCGAAAGCGUGGGGAGCAAACAGG